rnacentral:misc_RNA from 1 species
GAUGAAGAACGCAGCGAAAUGCGAUAAGUAAUGUGAAUUGCAGAAUUCAGUGAAUCAUCGAAUCUUUGAACGCACAUUGCGCCCCCUGGUAUUCCGGGGGGCAUGCCUGUCCGAGCGUCAUUACAACCCUCAAGCUCAGCUUGGUAUUGGGCCCCGCCGACCCGGCGGGCCCUAAAGUCAGUGGCGGUGCCGUCCGGCUCCGAGCGUAGUAAUUCUUCUCGCUCUGGAGGUCCGGUCGUGUGCUCGCCAGCAACCCCCAAUUUUUUUCAGGUUGACCUCGGAUCAGGUAGGGAUACCCGCUGAACUUAAGCAUAUCAAAAGCGGAGGA